rnacentral:rRNA from 1 species
UUGUUGGGUAGGGGAGCGUUCUGUAAGCCUGUGAAGGUGUGUCGUGAGGCAUGCUGGAGGUAUCAGAAGUGCGAAUGCUGACAUAAGUAACGAUAAAGCGGGUGAAAAGCCCGCUCGCCGGAAGACCAAGGGUUCCUGUCCAACGUUAAUCGGGGCAGGGUGAGUCGACCCCUAAGGCGAGGCCGAAAGGCGUAGUCGAUGGGAAACGGGUUAAUAUUCCCGUACUUGGUGUUACUGCGAAGGGGGGACGGAGAAGGCUAUGUUGGCCGGGCGACGGUUGUCCCGGUUUAAGCGUGUAGGUGUGUGUUCCAGGUAAAUCCGGUUCACUUUAACACUGAGGCGUGACGACGAGGCACUACGGUGCUGAAGCAACAAAUGCCCUGCUUCCAGGAAAAGCCUCUAAGCAUCAGGUAACAUCAAAUCGUACCCCAAACCGACACAGGUGGUCAGGUAGAGAAUACCAAGGCGCUUGAGAGAACUCGGGUGAAGGAACUAGGCAAAAUGGUGCCGUAACUUCGGGAGAAGGCACGCUGACACGUAGGUGAAGUGAUUUACUCAUGGAGCUGAAGUCAGUCGAAGAUACCAGCUGGCUGCAACUGUUUAUUAAAAACACAGCACUGUGCAAACACGAAAGUGGACGUAUACGGUGUGACGCCUGCCCGGUGCCGGAAGGUUAAUUGAUGGGGUCAGCGCAAGCGAAGCUCCUGAUCGAAGCCCCGGUAAACGGCGGCCGUAACUAUAACGGUCCUAAGGUAGCGAAAUUCCUUGUCGGGUAAGUUCCGACCUGCACGAAUGGCGUAAUGAUGGCCAGGCUGUCUCCACCCGAGACUCAGUGAAAUUGAACUCGCUGUGAAGAUGCAGUGUACCCGCGGCAAGACGGAAAGACCCCGUGAACCUUUACUAUAGCUUGACACUGAACAUUGAGCCUUGAUGUGUAGGAUAGGUGGGAGGCUUUGAAGUGUGGACGCCAGUCUGCAUGGAGCCGACCUUGAAAUACCACCCUUUAAUGUUUGAUGUUCUAACGUGGACCCGUUACCCGGGUUGCGGACAGUGUCUGGUGGGUAGUUUGACUGGGGCGGUCUCCUCC